rnacentral:lncRNA from 1 species
CCCCAUGCUGUCCCACUGACUUCGAAAUAACUGAGCAUGAAAUUCAUCAAUUCAAAGAGCUUUCAAUAGCACCAUGCCAGCGGACAUCACCUCCUCUCAGUAAAUCUACAUUGGAUGAAAACAGAAAGUCAGAAAAUAGCCUCUCAAAAGGAACCUCCUAUUAACAUGACUCAGUGAAAUUGGGUUUACAAAAGAAACUAAUGACCUCAGCUUCAAAAAUGCGGUCGUCAUAGCACCAUUCACCGUCAGACAAUUUAAGAGCUCUAACCUAGUUCAGUUUUCUCCUAAUAAGGGUUGGGUUAUGAAAAUAUUUGAUAUUGCGGUGUCCAACCAUGAGCCAUUCACUUCGAUUUCUGCCUCCAAAGAGUCUCUUUA